GAUGAACGCUGGCGGCGUGCUUAACACAUGCAAGUCGAACGAUUAAGACGGCUUCGGCCGUGUAUAGAGUGGCGAACGGGUGAGUAACACGUGACCAACCUGCCCCGCGCUCCGGGACAACCGCUGGAAACGGCGGCUAAUACCGGAUGCUCCGGGGAGGCCCCAUGGCCUCCCCGGGAAAGCCCUGACGGCGCGGGAUGGGGUCGCGGCCCAUUAGGUAGACGGCGGGGUAACGGCCCACCGUGCCCG
rnacentral:rRNA from 1 species